GCUUACGGCCACACCAGUGUGAAUGCGCCAAUCUCAUCUGAUCUCGGAAGUUAAACACGCUUGGAUUCGGGCAGUACCUGGAUGGUAGCCCGCCUGGGAACCCCGAGUGCUGUAAGCU
rnacentral:rRNA from 1 species